ACAAAUACUGUGUCGUGGCAAGCAACUACCUUCAAAGCGAUUUUCCAACUUCGGUGCAAAUCCUUCUAACCGGUUGCUCUCCAAGGUUCCACAGCUACUUCCAAACACCUGCACUUGUGGCUAGAAGUUUGGAGUUGCACAAAAUUAUUGCCUAGAAAUUCACAAGGAAUAGAAUACCAAUGAGGAGAAAAGUAAUUAAGAAAGAAAGCCAAGAAAAGACAAAUGAUAUUUCUUUCUGUGGAUAUGUUUUUUCAUCAAGUGAAGAGUACACUUAUAUCGAUGUGAAAAUGUACAUUUUGGUGAAGAAAUAAAUAAGAUGAGUUAAUAUCUUAUUUAAGACAAGCAUUUUAGUUCAUCACAUUAAGAAAUGUAUUAUCUUUAACUCUCAUCACGAUAAUUAAUUUGAGUGAAUGAAUAUGAAAUUUUUACUUUGCAUUUUAAUCUGCACAAUUAAUUAAAAAGAAAUGAAUGCAAUAAAUUCAUUAUCAUUCAUGAACGAAAAAACUCACAUAUUCAGAUUCAUUGAACUUCAAAAUAGAUACGAAUUUCAAAUAAAAACUAAAAACAACCAUUUGCUUUUUCGACCUUUUAUCUUAAUUAACUAGUUCACAUGGGUAACGAGGACAACUUGGCGAAGGUCUUUAUCACUCCUCCCAGUGCACGUUCUAAUGUGCGCCCAGGCUUAAGAACACGAACCAAGCUGGUAUAUCGACGACAAUUGCUCCAGUGAAGGAGGUCACAAGCAUCGGGAGGAAGUAGAGUGGUGAAGAAGGUACAAUUCAAUUGAACAGUACGAAUUGUUUCACAGAGAGAAGAGUUAGGUCGAGGGAAUCGAGUGACACCAAAAAAUCCACCUAAAGUGCGAGCACAGAAAUAGAAGAAACAAAAUCAUCUUGAGUAGAUGAAAUAGAGAAAGAGGAAGAGAUGUUAGGGAAACCACCAGGUGCAGGAGUGGAUGAGAAAACUAAGUUACUAGUUGAAAGCUCGAUAUGAGAGAAGUUUGAUAUAGUAAAAAUUGUAAUCGCAACUUCAAUUAGAGUAUGUGAAUUAUGAACACAUUGGGGAUCAACUGGUAGGGAGAAUUGAGCUAAAGGAUAUCAGUUCAAAAGUGGAAUAGUGGUGAAAUGCGAUCGUGUGUUAUGUUAUAGGUGCUCACCUAUCAUUCACAAUAUUGAAUGGAUUUAUUCAGCGAAUUUUGGGGCGACAUGGCAUUAAUAAAAUUGCGAUGAUGAAAAAUGAAAUUAUGAUGGUACGUUUGAUAGUGAAAAGGGGAAAAUAGAUGUACUGCAUAGAGACAUUUACCAUUUUGACAAUAAGCCUCUUAUUGUCUAGGAAUAGAUGCUUGAAAUGGAGUUUUCGAAAGAGGAAUUGCUCACAGUCCCAAUUUCGAUUACACUUCCAGGUUUGGAUUUGAAAUACCGGACUGCUCGUGGUUUAAGUAACAUUGGAAGUUUAGUGGGAAAACAAUUAAUGGGGGAUAACCAUACAAAGAAAAAGCUUGAUCUGAGCUUUGCAUUGUUGUUGGUGAAGUACAGGUGGGAAAUAAGCUGCCGUAUGAGGUGUUGUCUCGAAAUGAG
rnacentral:lncRNA from 1 species